UACGAAGGGGGCUAGCGUUGCUCGGAAUCACUGGGCGUAAAGGGUGCGUAGGCGGGUCUUUAAGUCAGGGGUGAAAUCCUGGAGCUCAACUCCAGAACUGCCUUUGAUACUGAGGAUCUUGAGUUCGGGAGAGGUGAGUGGAACUGCGAGUGUAGAGGUGAAAUUCGUAGAUAUUCGCAAGAACACCAGUGGCGAAGGCGGCUCACUGGUCCGGUACUGACGCUGAUGUGCGAAAGCGUGGGGAGCAAACAGG
rnacentral:rRNA from 1 species